UAGCAGAUUGAAUUCAAAUAUGCUCUGGGU
rnacentral:piRNA from 1 species